AAAGGCGUUGUUCGCGUGAUUUGUUCUGAGCCGCGCCACAAGCAGCGUCAAGGUUAAUAAAAGGGGAUUUAAAUGGCUCGUAUUGCCGGCAUUAACAUUCCAAGC
rnacentral:sRNA from 1 species